rnacentral:rRNA from 1 species
UACGGAGGGUGCGAGCGUUGUCCGGAAUCACUGGGCGUAAAGGGCGCGUAGGUGGCGCGGUAAGCGUGUGGUGAAAGCCCGGGGCUCAACCCCGGGUCGGCCAUGCGAACUGCUGGGCUUGAGCAUAGUAGAGGCAGGUAGAAUUCCGGGUGUAGCGGUGGAAUGCGUAGAGAUCCGGAAGAAUACCCGUGGCGCAAGCGCCACCUGGCCGAGACCUGACGCUAAGGCACGAAAGCGUGGGGAGCGAACCGG